CCUGUCUCCAAGGAGACACUCAGGAGAGGAAGAAUAGCCUUUCCCUGUUAUAAAUGGAGGACAUUCCUAUUUCUUCACCUCUUGAAUCCAGAAGGGCCUUCGUGUAUAGUUACUAAGCUCUUUGUUAAUCAGCUCUGUGUUGCCCCGAGCAAAAGAGCAUUAAGGAGUAAACCAGACUAUAUUUUGGACAGCCGGGAUGCCAUCACAUAAUCCGUGACCUACAGUGUGUUUUCAGUAUUCUCCCGAGAUGCUUGUUUGCUGAGGUUCAUCGUGAUUGGACGCUAAGCUUCAGGAAAGGCUUUGUCUGUGUCCAUUGAGAGGAUAGUUUUCCUCUGCCUUUCUGUAAUUAUGAAAUAAAUGGAUUAUAAUGUGUCAA